GACGAACGCUGGCGGCGUGCUUAACACAUGCAAGUCGUACGGUAAGGCCCUUUCGGGGGUACACGAGUGGCGAACGGGUGAGUAACACGUGCGUAACCUGCCCACAACUUUGGGAUAACGCUAGGAAACUGGUGCUAAUACUGGAUAUGUGCUCCUGCUGCAUGGUGGGGGUUGGAAAGCUCCGGCGGUUGUGGAUGGACUCGCGGCCUAUCAGCUUGUUGGUGGGGUAGUGGCCUACCAAGGCGGCGACGGGUAGCCGGCCUGAGAGGGUGACCGGCCACAUUGGGGCUGAGAUACGGCCCAGACUCCUACGGGAGGCAGCAGUGGGGAAUAUUGCACAAUGGGCGCAAGCCUGAUGCAGCAACGCCGCGUGCGGGAUGACGGCCUUCGGGUUGUAAACCGCUUUCAGCAGGGACGAAGCUUUUUGUGACGGUACCUGCAGAAGAAGCACCGGCUAACUACGUG
rnacentral:rRNA from 1 species